AUGGCGGAGCAGCAGGUGGUGGCGGACCUCCGAGAGAAGUGCGCCACGCCGCCGUCGCUGCUGCGCGACGUGGCGGCGGCGAUGGCCGACGAGAUGUGCGCCGGGCUGGAGAUGGAGGGUGGGAGCAGGGUCAAGAUGCUGCUCUCCUACGUUGACAAGCUCCCCACCGGGAGAGAGGAAGGUUUGUUCUAUGGACUGGACCUAGGAGGGACAAACUUCCGUGUCUUGAAGGUGCAGCUAGGUGGCAAUGAUAAGCAUGUCAUUAGCCGCGAGUCCAGAGAAGUCGCCAUCCCACCACAUUUGAUGUCAGGGAGCUCCUCUGAAUUGUUUGGUUUCAUUGCUUCUGAAUUAGCCAAGUUUGUGGCUGAUGAAGAGAAGGGUACUAGCUUGUCAAAUGGGAAGACACGGGAACUAGGAUUCACAUUUUCUUUCCCAGUGAGGCAACGGUCUGUUGCAUCGGGUACCCUUGUCAAGUGGACAAAGGCAUUUUCUAUAGAAGAUGCUGUAGGUAAAGAUGUAGUUGCUGAACUGCAAACAGCUAUGCAGAAGCAAGGUCUAGACAUGCAUGUGGCCGCACUAAUUAAUGACGCUGUUGGGACAUUGGCUGGAGCCAGAUACUAUGAUGAAGAUGUCGUCGCAGGUGUGAUAUUUGGCACUGGCACAAAUGCUGCUUAUGUUGAGAAGGCAAAUGCUAUACCAAAAUGGGAAGGAGAGCUGCCUAGUUCAGGACAAAUGGUCAUUAAUAUGGAAUGGGGUAAUUUCUAUUCGUGUCAUCUUCCAGUAACUGAAUAUGAUCAAGCAUUAGAUAAUGAAAGCUUAAAUCCAGGAGAGCAGAUCUACGAGAAGUUAACCUCAGGAAUGUAUUUAGGUGAAAUUGUAAGGAGGGUCUUGCUUAAACUGUCCUUGCAAUCUGCCAUUUUCGGUGAAAUUGACCACACUAAGCUCAAAACUCAUUUCCAUCUCCGGACUCCGCAUAUUUCUGCAAUGCACCAUGACGACACGCCCGAUCUGAAGACAGUGGAAGAAAAACUGAAGGAAAUCCUAGAGAUUGCAGGCACGUCCUUAGAGACGCGGAAAAUGGUUGUUGAAAUCUGCGACAUUGUAGCAAGAAGGGUGGCCCGGCUGGCUGCUGCGGGCCUUGCAGGGAUCCUCAAGAAGCUUGGGAGGGAUGGCUCCGUCGACAAGCGCCGGUCGGUCAUCGCCAUCGACGGAGGACUGUUCGAACACUACUCCAAGUUCAGCAAAUGCUUGGAAACUACUCUAAAUGAACUGCUAGGGGAGGAGUCAUCGAAGUUCAUAGUCGUCAAGCAUGCGGAUGAUGGCUCGGGGAUAGGGGCUGCCCUGAUUGCUGCUUCCCAAUCUCAAUACAGAAAUGUUGAAUAA
rnacentral:rRNA from 1 species